CCGGAGAAAGAUCCAGCCGCUGACGAGCCCUCUUCGCCGUCCGUCGCCUGCCGCUGAACUGGGCUGGUUUUCGGGUCUGCAGAAUGACAAGAUGGAGCUUCUGAAACCAGGAUCGCUUCAGCAUCUUGGAGAAAAAUAGAAAAUAUGCUUGAUUUCUUACUGCAUGCUGCUUCAUCACCAAAAUUUAUGAAAGAUGCGCAGCAGGCAAAGCAAGAGAGCACAGAAGCGAACAAAGCUAUUUUCUUUGAUGUUCUGGUAUAUAUAAUGAUUAAAUCAUCUUUGUUUGCUGUCUUUCAAAUAUUAUGGCUGUACCAUGCAUUAUGUUUUUCUCAUCAAGCUAAGUAAGCACACAUGUAGCUUCCACAUUUUGACAUUUUCCUAAGGAAAAUAGAUCUUUACACUUGGUCUGCA